rnacentral:lncRNA from 1 species
CUCGGCUCGGCUCGGCUCGGCUCGGCUCGGCUCGGCUCGGCUUCCCGGGUCUGCUGGCGCGGCGCUGGGAGGCACUGCGGCCGUCUGUGAGGGAGGGCAGCGGUGAGGCAGCUGGGUUUAUGGCCCAGAUUUCCAGGAGAGAUGGUCAUAGCUGUGUGUGUGUGUGUGUCGACCAAGGGAAGAGCCUUACAUAUGGUUCUUGUAUAUCGGCGUGCAAGCCCGGAAAGUACUAGGAACAACUUACUUAACGUGUAGCUGGAGAUGAAGUGGGUACUCUGAGCCUGGCGGCAGACUGGAUGUAGCCUUUGUCAGAAUAGCAGUAUUUCAGUCUGAAAGCACAGCAUUUCUGUGACCAGCUGCUUGUGUUUCUGCUGCAUUGGCCCACAGCGAUUCAGACAACACAGAGCAACACAGAAGUGUACUGCAGUUCAUCAUUUAAGACUGCAUCAAAAAUAGGAGCUGAAUGCAGUGUGUGUGCAGCAGGAGCCUACAGAGGAAGCUGGGCCAGUGAGAAUGCAGAGCAGUCUGGUGACGAUGGCAGCCCUGGACAGCAGCACAGCAAAUGAUUGACCACCUGAGGCGAGCACUGAGUCAGCCGCAGAGGACACAGUUGAACACAGUUUCACCUGAGUGACCGGAAGACCCCAUGUAAGGGCUGACUCUUGGAGCCCUUUGGUGAGCCCACGACCAGGGACAUCUGGAAAUGUUGCUGGAGCCUUUGAAGCCCUAGUCUAUAUGUGUUCAUGCUGGAGGAACUGAAGCUGAAGCGGGGGAAGGAAGUAAUUUUUAACUCCUCCCUAAAUGCCAGUCACUGCCAGGGAGAAGUCAAUCUGGUAUAUGGCAUCUAAGAGAAAAUACAUGGAUACCUGUUACGAAACAGAGAUGCUGUCUCGCAGCUGCUGAGGCCUUUGUAGUGGCUCACAAAGAAAGGCCAAAAACGGGACUGGAGAAGAACAGAAGAAGAGGCAUUCCAGGAAGCCAACUUAGCUGCUAAACAGGCCCAGGCACUGGGUAAUAUUCGAUCCUACCCUUACAGCUAAACUAGAUGCAUGCAACUCAAGAUGGGUUUGGCUAGCAUCUAUGGCAGUGCCAAAAUUCUGUUUGAACCCCAGUUGGGUUCUGGUCUUAAGUUUGGCACAGAGCAGAGGAAAGGUACGGUAUGAUUGCAAAGCAGUUAUUGACUGCUUAUUCUGCAUUACAGGUGACAGAGCCAAUAACUCAAACAUCUCCCGUCAUAGUUAAGACCACCCUGUCUUUCUGUCACUACAGGCAUCAUGUGUCAGCCACACGGGUACGGUGUUGAAGUGGAAAAAAGCCUGCAGACCCUGGGAAAACCAUUGGGGGAGAGAGGAGAAGUGCCCUUUGAAGCAUUUGAUGCCCUGCUGGCAUCCAACACCAGCAUGGUCCUUUUCUCUCCUUUUCAGCCUUUUGCCAUCUCUCAGUGGUUGGCUUCCUUUAGGUACUGGAAGGAUGCAGUGGGGUCACCCCGCAGCCUUCUCUUCUCCAGGCUGAACAAGCCUGGCUCCCUCAGCCUGGCCUUCCUCUGGAC